rnacentral:rRNA from 1 species
UAGAACGCUAGCGGCAGGCUUAACACAUGCAAGUCGAGGGGCAGCACGGGUAGCAAUACCUGGUGGCGACCGGCGCAAGGGUGCGUAACGCGUGAGCAACAUGCCCUAUACAGGGGGAUAAUCCAGGGAAACUUGGUCUAAUAUCCCAUAGCAUUUAGAGGAGGCAUCUUCACUAAAUUAAAGCUUCGGUGGUAUAGGAUUGGCUCGCGUGACAUUAGCUAGAUGGUGAGGUAACGGCCCACCAUGGCUAUGAUGUCUAGGGGUUCUGAGAGGAAGACCCCCCCACACUGGGACUGAGACACGGCCCAGACUCCUACGGGAGGCAGCAGUGAGGAAUAUUGGACAAUGGAUGGAAAUCUGAUCCAGCCAUGCCGCGUGCAGGAAGACGGCCCUAUGGGUUGUAAACUGCUUUUAUAUGGGAGCAAUAAGGUUUACGAGUAGACCGAUGAGAGUACCAUAUGAAUAAGCAUCGGCUAACUCCGUG